rnacentral:rRNA from 1 species
CCUACGGGUGGCAGCAGUGAGGAAUAUUGGUCAAUGGACGAGGGUCUGAACCAGCCAAGUAGCGUGAAGGAUGACUGCCCUAUGGGUUGUAAACUUCUUUUAUAUGGGAAUAAAAUGUUCCACGUGUGGGAUUUUGUAUGUACCAUAUGAAUAAGGAUCGGCUAACUCCGUGCCAGCAGCCGCGGUAAUACGGAGGAUCCGAGCGUUAUCCGGAUUUAUUGGGUUUAAAGGGAGCGUAGGUGGAUUGUUAAGUCAGUUGUGAAAGUUUGCGGCUCAACCGUAAAAUUGCAGUUGAAACUGGCAGUCUUGAGUACAGUAGAGGUGGGCGGAAUUCGUGGUGUAGCGGUGAAAUGCUUAGAUAUCACGAAGAACUCCGAUUGCGAAGGCAGUUCACUGGACUGCAACUGACACUGAGGCUCGAAAGUGUGGGUAUCAAACAGGAUUAGAUACCCGAGUAGUC